rnacentral:lncRNA from 1 species
GUUACUUUAAAUAUUAUUUAUAAUGGUAUAAGUGGGUAAUUUUUAUAAAGAUUAGGGGGUUACUUUAGUUUAUUUAUAUAAUGGCAGAGGUGGGUAAUUUAGAUAUAGAUUUUGGGGGUUAGUUUAGACUAUUUUCAUAAUGGCAUAGGUGGCUAAUUUUUUAGAAAAUAUAAUAGAUCCAAUGGCUACGAUGAUUUGAGCCUAGCGAUUGAUGGCCAGAUGUUUUGCUUUUUUGUGAGAAUUUCUAGGAAUUCUCUCUUUUUCUAUAGUGUCUACCUAGGUGGCUUCACUUGGAGGCUUCAAAAGGAGCCUCCAAUCAGUAAUAGUAAGAUAGAGAUAGAUUAACCAGAAAUUUCUCU